GCGUGUGGAAUGGAAGAAAAGCGAAACAAUAAAAACAAAUUCUCAAACUGGAGUGCCGAAAUUUUAAUCGUUUUGAUGUUGUGCUGAAUAUUCUUCUGAUUGAUAGAGAAUACUUAAUAAACAUAAGCCGAAAUGAAAGCGAUGACAUAUCCUGGUCUGUCGUGAACGCUGAGGUCAAAACUAGUUUUUUCCUAAUGGAUAUCUGCUGCAGGCAAUGGGCAGUGAAAGAGACAAUCCAUCAUGAUUUCCUCCACGUAACUUCGAGUGCAGUUUCAGCAGAAGGCGAAGCAGUAGACUGUUUUAUUCGAGAAUUUGCUGCCUGUUGGCUUCAAGGAAGAUCAUAGCCAAUGGCAUUUGAAGGGACCCGAUUUGUAUCACAUGAUAGGCAUGUUCCUGAAAACCAUGCAUUGGAUACGAAAUUUGUGUUAUAUUCCUGACCACCAAUAAAUGGAGCUAAGCGGAUCAAUAUGGAUCGGGAGAUCUAUCAUGAUAACCUCAAGGAUGAAAGCUCUCGUGGAAACAACGGGUCGGGUCGACAGUAUAAAAAUGUUAACCUUGCUUUAAUUUGAUUAAUAAAAUAAUUCAUGGUUGCAAAUUCAUUCUUGAUUUU